ensembl:snRNA U6 U6 spliceosomal RNA
GUACUCACUUCGGCAGCACAUAAACUAAAAUUGGAAUGGUACAGAGAAGAUUGGCAUGGCCCCUGUGCAAGGAUACAUGUAAAUUCACCAAGUGUUGCAUAUUUUU